GACGAAGGUGGCGAGCGUUGUUCGGAAUCACUGGGCAUAAAGCGCACGUAGGCGGCUAAGUAAGUCGGAUGUGAAAUACCUCGGCUCAACCGAGGAACUGCGUCCGAUACUGCUUGGCUUGAGGUCCGGAGGGGAGAGUGGAAUUCCCGGUGGAGCGGUGAAAUGCGUAGAGAUCGGGAAGAACGCCGGCGGCGAAAGCGACUCUCUGGUCGGAAUCUGACGCUGAGGUGCGAAAGCUAGGGGAGCAAACGGG
rnacentral:rRNA from 1 species